GACGAACGCUGGCGGCGUGCUUAACACAUGCAAGUCGAGCGGUGCGGCGAACGGGUGAGUAACGCGUGAGUAACUGCCCCCCUCUCUGGGAUAACAGUUGGCAACGGCUGCUACUACCGGAUAGUGGGGGAUGACUCGCGUCCUAUCGGCUUGUUGGUGGGGUAGUGGCCGACCAAAGCGACGACGGGUAGCCGGCCUGGGAGGGGGACCGGCCACAUUGGGCUGAGAUACGGCGCAAACGUCUACGGGAGGCAGCAGGGGGGAAUAUUGCACAAUGGGGGAAACCCUGAUGCAGCAACGCCGCGGGCGGGAUGACGGCCUUCGGGUUGUAAACCGCUUUCAGCCAUGACGCGGUAGUGGCAGAAGAAGCACCGGCUAACUACGUGCCAGCAGCCGCGGUAAUAC
rnacentral:rRNA from 1 species